GAGUUCAUUUCACCGCUUCCUGGAGCGAAGCAGUCUGUUGCCGUCCUGUCGGCUGGCUCUGGCCUCACAGCAGGAAGGACCUCUCUCCCAAAAUCUCACGGUACUGAAGAUCCCACUCUACCCACGACCCAUGGGAACAGAACAGACCAGCAGGUAGUCGGCCAACCCCCGAGCCAGACUAAGGGCCCUGCACAGGGAUCACUGCAGUAGGAAAGCACAAGACGGAGGCGAAAAGGAAUCUCGUGGCAGCAAGACCGUGCUCCGUACACUGAACGAAGAUCACUGUUAGCCAUCUUCUUGGUCACCAUACCUGGUCCUACAGAUGGACGCUGUCUUUGGGCCAGACCCAAGUGCUUGGAAUGCUGAGCUAGAGCGGAUCAAGUUUAAGGUCCCUUCUAAGCCGGGGCCAGCAAAUAAGGAGCCAGAUGAUCCUGUUAAUGCCGGGCCAAGGUGGGAGUCCCCGGUGGGCACCAAACUUCAAGGAUGUAAAAGUCAGUGUCUG